UACGUAGGUGGCAAGCGUUGUCCGGAUUUACUGGGCGUAAAGAGCGCGCAGGCGGUCGUUCAAGUCGCGUGUGAAAGCCCCCGGCUCAACUGGGGAGGGUCACGCGAUACUGAUCGACUCGAAGGCAGGAGAGGGUAGUGGAAUUCCCGGUGUAGUGGUGAAAUGCGUAGAUAUCUGGAGGAACACCGGUGCGAAGGCGGCAUCCUGGAGCCGACACUGACGCUGAGGAGCGAAAGCCAGGGGAGCAAACGG
rnacentral:rRNA from 1 species